UACGGAGGGGGCUAGCGUUGUUCGGAAUUACUGGGCGUAAAGCGCGCGUAGGCGGACCUGCAAGUCGGGGGUGAAAGCCCGAGGCUCAACCUCGGAACUGCCUUCGAUACUGCGGGUCUCGAGUCCGGGAGAGGUGAGUGGAAUUCCUAGUGUAGAGGUGAAAUUCGUAGAUAUUAGGAAGAACACCAGUGGCGAAGGCGGCUCACUGGCCCGAUACUGACGCUGAGGCACGAAAGCGUGGGGAGCAAACAGG
rnacentral:rRNA from 1 species